rnacentral:rRNA from 1 species
UUGGACUUCCUAACGGGAGGCAUGCAGUGGGGAAUAUUGGACAAUGGGCGAAAGCCUGAUCCAGCCAUGCCGCGUGUGUGAAGAAGGCCUUCGGGUUGUAAAGCACUUUCAGCGAGGAAGAACGCUUGUGGGUUAAUACCCCGCAAGAAAGACAUCACUCGCAGAAGAAGCACCGGCUAACUCCGUGCCAGCAGCCGCGGUAAUACGGAGGGUGCAAGCGUUAAUCGGAAUUACUGGGCGUAAAGCGCGCGUAGGUGGCUAAGUCAGCCAGGUGUGAAAGCCCCGGGCUCAACCUGGGAACGGCAUCUGGAACUGCUUGGCUAGAGUGCAGGAGAGGAAGGUAGAAUUCCCGGUGUAGCGGUGAAAUGCGUAGAGAUCGGGAGGAAUACCAGUGGCGAAGGCGGCCUUCUGGACUGACACUGACACUGAGGUGCGAAAGCCGAACCCCC